rnacentral:rRNA from 1 species
GUUUGAUCCUGGCUCAGAUUGAACGCUGGCGGCAUGCCUUACACAUGCAAGUCGAACGGCAGCACGGGAGCUUGCUCCUGGUGGCGAGUGGCGAACGGGUGAGUAAUACAUCGGAACGUACCCAGGAGUGGGGGAUAACGUAGCGAAAGUUACGCUAAUACCGCAUAUUCUGUGAGCAGGAAAGCGGGGGAUCGCAAGACCUCGCGCUCUUGGAGCGGCCGAUGUCGGAUUAGCUAGUUGGUGAGGUAAAAGCUCACCAAGGCGACGAUCCGUAGCAGGUCUGAGAGGAUGAUCUGCCACACUGGGACUGAGACACGGCCCAGACUCCUACGGGAGGCAGCAGUGGGGAAUUUUGGACAAUGGGGGCAACCCUGAUCCAGCCAUGCCGCGUGAGUGAAGAAGGCCUUCCGGUUGUAAAGCUCUUUCGGCGGGGAAGAAAUGGCAACGGCUAAUAUCCGUUGUUGAUGACGGUACCCGCAUAAGAAGCACCGGCUAACUACGUGCCAGCAGCCGCGGUAAUACGUAGGGUGCGAGCGUUAAUCGGAAUUACUGGGCGUAAAGCGUGCGCAUGCGGUUUCGUAAGACAGACGUGAAAUCCCCGGGCUCAACCUGGGAACUGCGUUUGUGACUGCGAGGCUAGAGUACGGCACAGGGGGGUAGAAUUCCACGCGUAGCAGUGAAAUGCGUACAGAUGUGGAGGAAUACCGAUGGCGAAGGCAGCCCCCUGGGUUAGUACUGACGCUCAUGCACGAAAGCGUGUGGAGCAAACAGGAUUAGAUACCCUGGUAGUCCACGCCCUAAACGAUGUCAACUACGUGUUGGAAGGGUUAAACCUUUUAGUACCGCAGCUAACGCGUGAAGUUGACCGCCUGGGGAGUACGGUCGUCAAGGUUAAACUCNGAGGAAUUGAUGGGGACCCGCACAAGCGGUGGAUGAUGUGGAUUAAUUCGAUGCGACGCGAAAAACCUUACCUACCCUUGACAUGGCAGGA